rnacentral:rRNA from 1 species
CCUACGGGAGGUAGCAGUGAGGAAUAUUGGUCAAUGGACGCAAGUCUGAACCAGCCAUGCCGCGUGCAGGAAGACGGCUCUAUGAGUUGUAAACUGCUUUUGUACGAGGGUAAACGCAGAUACGCGUAUCUGUCUGAAAGUAUCGUACGAAUAAGGAUCGGCUAACUCCGUGCCAGCAGCCGCGGUAAUACGGAGGAUUCAAGCGUUAUCCGGAUUUAUUGGGUUUAAAGGGUGCGUAGGCGGUCCGGAAAGUCAGCGGUAAAAGCCCGGGGCUCAACCCCGGCGAGCCGUUGAAACUGUCGGACUAGAGACGGCGAGAAGUACGCGGAAUGCGCGGUGUAGCGGUGAAAUGCAUAGAUAUCGCGCAGAACUCCGAUUGCGAAGGCAGCUUACUAAACUGCCACUGACAUUGAUGCUCGAAAGUGUGGGUAUCAAACAGGAUUAGAUACCCUUGUAGUC